rnacentral:rRNA from 1 species
UGAAGGAAAGUUGCAAAGAACUUUGAAGAGAGAAGUCAAGAAUACGUGGAACUGGUUAAGGGCCAACGGGUGGGCCCUUGAAGUUCGCGGGGAGAAGGAAUCAGUUUUGGGCGGCCGGCGAAGCCGUUGCCGGCGAACCCUGGGGUUGGGGUGUUGCCUUGGGGGAAUUGUUCUUCGUUGGCCGUGGCGCAAUUUUUUUUUCCGACGGACGCCGCAACCUUGGGGAAGUUGGCCGUAAGGAACAAAGUAAGUAGGUGGGGUUGGCGCCGGGUUAGCGCCGGACGCCCCGUGUUUGGCCUUGCAAGGAAGUUCCGGCGCGGCCUUCGCGAGAAGGAAAAACGUUCCCCCCACCGCGGGGGACUGGCCGUUGCCUCGCGUCAAGCGAGCGGCGGGAGGGUAUCAGGGACGCUGAGUGUUUUAUUCCGGACGUCACCGAGCGGUGUCGCCGGACUCGCGGUACCCGGUGGGUCCCCCCAUAGGCCGCGGCGCAGUAGGCAAGUAAGGCUUGCGGCGAGUAGGUCGGUAACCCACCCGACCCGUCUUGAAACACGGACCAAGGAGUCUAACAUGUGCGCGAGUCAGUGGGACUCGAAAAAGCCCACGGGCGCAAACGAAAGUGAACAGCCUAGUUUAUUGGGCGACAGUCGGGAUCCCCGUCGCGAUGCGGCGGAGGCGCACCGACGGCCUGGGUCACGCGCUCUAUUUACGCGCGGGCCCGGAGUCAGAGCGUACACGUUGGGACCCGAAAGAUGGUGAACUAUGCCCGGGCAGGUCGAAGCUAGAGGAAACUCUGGUGGAGGACCGCAGCGG